UACGGAGGGGGCAAGCGUUGUCCGGAUUUACUGGGCGUAAAGAGCGCGUAGGUGGUCCAUUAAGUCGGCUGUGAAAGCGCUGGGCUCAACCCAGCAGGGCCAGUCGAUACUGGUGGACUCGAGUCCGGGAGAGGGAAGUGGAAUUGCUGGUGUAGCGGUGGAAUGCGUAGAUACCAGCAAGAACACCGGUGGCGAAGGCGGCUUCCUGGACCGGUACUGACGCUGAGGCGCGAAAGCUAGGGGAGCGAACGGGAUUAGAUACCCCGGUAGUCCUAGCCGUAAACGAUGGUCACUAGGUGUUGCGGGUAUCGACCCCUGCGGUGCCGUAGCUAACGCAUUAAGUGACCCGCCUGGGGAGUACGGCCGCAAGGCUGAAACUCAAACUGGAAUUGACGGGGCCCCGCACAAGCGGUGGAGCAUGCGGCUCAAUUCGAGGGUACGCGAAGAACCUUACCAGGGCUUGACAUCUACGGAAUCCUGCUGAAAGGCGGGAGUGCCCUUCGGGGAGCCGUAAGACAGGUGGUGCAUGGCUGUCGUCAGCUCGUGUCGUGAGAUGUUGGGUUAAGUUCCGCAACGAGCGCAACCCCUACCCUAUGUUGCCAUCAGUCCGGCUGGGCACUCAUAGGGGACUGCCAGAGUAAUCUGGAGGAAGGCGGGGAUGAGGUCAAGUCCGCAUGCCCCUUAUGCCCUGGGCUGCACGCAUGCUACAAUGGGCGGCACAAAGGGAAGCAAUGCCGCGAGGUGGAGCCGAUCCCACAAAGCCGUCCUCAGUUCGGAUCGGAGUCUGCAGCUCGACUCCGUGAAGUCGGAAUCGCUAGUAACUGCAGGUCAGCUACACUGCGGUGAAUACGUUCCCGGGGCU
rnacentral:rRNA from 1 species